AAGUCCUAUAAAAGGCCUUACUUCUCCUCGUUCACCAAACCAUUCUUCUCCAUUCAUUAGGACAGACAUCCUGUGCUGGGAUUUCCCCAAAGCCAAAGAAAAUGUCUUGCCAGCAGUCUCAGCAAUUCAAGAAGCCUUCAACGUGCCUCUCAUCAUCCAGUAACAAUCCGUGCCAGCCUUCAGGAUGCUCUAAACCAUGGCCUUCUUCAGGAUGCUCAAAGCCAGGCCCAGCUCCAGGAUACUUGAAUCCAUGCCCAUCUUCUGGAUGCUCAAAGCCAGGCCUACCUACAGGAUGCUCCAAUCCAUGCCCUCCUCCAACAUGCCAAGGAUCAACUGGUAAUCCAUGCCAAGGAUCGUGGGGAAAUCCAUGCCAAAACCCAUCAGGCCAAGGCAGCGGACAUCACCACCAUUACCUCUAUCAUGACACCCAACAAACCAAGCCCUGCUAGCUUCCUUGGAAGAGUUGGCCAUCAAGAGAUGAAAGCAUGCCAAUAAAUUCUCAUGAGGUCAAUCUCUCAAUUUCAUUGCCCCUAGGUGUGUGCUCCUAUGUAUUAGCCACAUCCUUAUACUUAUUUAGAUCCACAUCCAAAGGGCUAUUUUAUGCCUUCCAAAGUGCUUAAAUGUAUAUGGGUUUUUAAUUUCUACUUCUCAACAACAAUCAAUGCCAUAAUCUCUUUUUCUCUUUGUCUUUCUAUUGGAAAAGUAAGUGAUCAUGCGAUGAAAGCAUUAUCAAUAAAUCUGUAUGAAGCUAA